AAUGCUUUCACUUCUCUCUCUCCUCUUGGGUUUGUACAGCUCUGUACGGCGAGAAAACCCAAACCUCACCUUUACUGUUCGUCCACAGGCCCUUUUAAAUGGUUAAAACCUAAUUAGAUUCGGUUUAAGAGUCCUUAAUCAACCCAAAUCAGGUUCUGAACCGUCGGAUCAAAAAAUAGAUCAACCCACGCCCUCCGAUCAUGAUGGAUCCAUGGAAUAGUGCCAUGGACCAUGCGAAACAUGUGGGAAAUGCCCGCGCGGUCCACAGGCCUAGCCA
rnacentral:lncRNA from 1 species